rnacentral:lncRNA from 1 species
AACUAUUUACGUUACUUUUGUGGGAGUACCUAUGCUUUAUUAUUUGAUUUUGUCUUGCUUGUGUUUCUAAUUUUAUCUCUGUUUCUUAAUGCAGCUUUCUCAUUUUUACUCUACUCGCCGAGGGUCGGUUGGAAGCAGCCUCUCUGCCCUUUCGGGCAGGGGUAAGGCUCGUCUACAGAUUACCCUCCCCAGACCCCACCUGGUGGGAGUAUACUGGGUAGUUGUUGUUGUUGUUGUUGUUGUUU